rfam:Hydrogenophilales bacterium RIFOXYA1_FTLL_63_33 rifoxya1_full_scaffold_16292, whole genome shotgun sequence.
GGGGCCGACCUGGCUUCGACGUGGGUCGCAAAGCAGCGUAGGGCAUACCGAGGGUCAGAGCACCUCGUAAAUCCAACUGAAAAACUUUAGUCGCAAACGACGAAAACUACGCC